UACAGAGGUCUCAAGCGUUGUUCGGAUUCAUUGGGCGUAACGGGUGUGUAGGUGGCGCGCUAAGUCGGGUGUGAAAUUUCGGAGCUUAACUCCGAAACUGCAUUCGAUACUGGCGUGCUUGAGGACUGGAGAGGAGACUGGAAUUCAUGGUGUAGCAGUGAAAUGCGUAGAGAUCAUGAGGAAGACCAGUGGCGAAGGCGGGUCUCCGGACAGUUCCUGACACUGAGACACGAGGGCCAGGGGAGCAAACGGG
rnacentral:rRNA from 1 species